rnacentral:rRNA from 1 species
GCGCAUAUUAACCGCGGCGGAGGGAACCCGGUGAACUGAAACAUCUAAGUA